rnacentral:rRNA from 1 species
AUGCUCCGCCUCCGGAGCUGCGGCGUCGCGCACCUGCUCUCCUCUCCCAUCACCUCUCACGGCUACGCUCUCCCCCGACUCCUCUCCGCCACCACCGCCGUUUCCCCACCCACCGGAUUCGCCGUCGAGGAGUAUCUGGUCGACACCUGCGGCCUCACCCGAGCACAAGCGCUCAAGGCCUCCGCAAAGCUUUCCCACCUCAAAUCCCCCGCCAAUGCCGACGCCGUCCUCGCCUUCCUCGCCGGCCUCGGCCUCUCUAGCGCCGACGUCGCCGCCCUCGUCGCGCGGGAUCCCAAGUUCCUCUGCGCCGGCGUGGAGGCGACCCUGUCCCCCAUCGUCGUCGAGCUCACGGGCCUCGGGCUGUCGCGCUCCGAGAUCGCGCGACUCGUCCCGCUCGCUGCCGAGCACUUCCGCUGCAAGUCCGUCGUAUCCAAGGUGCACUACUACCUGCACCUCUUGGGCCCCUCCGAGAAAUUCCUCCGAGUAUUCAAGGGUAACCACCAUCUCCUCUCGCACAGCCUCGAGAAGGUGGUCAAGCGGAACGUGCGGCUGCUGCGGGAGUGCACGCUAGGUGCUUGCGACAUUGGCAAGCUGGCCAUCUCUUUGCCAAGGAUGCUCACCGCCAACGUGGAACAAAUCCGGGCCAUGGUUGCCUCUGCUGAGGCUUUAGGCGUGCCUCCUGGCUGUGCGAUGUUCAGGCAGGCUCUGCGGUCUGUUGCGUUAGUUAGUGAGGAGAAGAUCGCCACUAAAUUGGAUCACUUGAAGAAGGCAACAAGGUGGUCAGAUACCGAUGCCGGCAUUGCUGUGUCCAGGUGGCUGAGUGUGCUGAGUUUGUCCAAGGAAACGCUGCAGCGCAAGUCCGACUUCUUCAUCGCGGAGGUGGGAUUGGAACCGGCGUACAUUGCUCGUCGGCCAGCGAUGCUUAGUUUUAGCCUGGAGGGCCGGCUCAGGCCCCGGUACUAUGUUAUGAGGUUUCUCAAGGAAAAUGGAUUGCUAGAUCAUGACAGAGACUACUACGGUAUGGUCUUGUGCAGCGAGAAGGUGUUUGCGGAGAAAUUCAUAUGCCCUCACAAGGAAGCUGCGCCGCACCUCCCUGAAGACUAUGCUGCUGCUCGCAGAGGGGAAAUGCCGACUAAUUUCAGAUUUAUAUGA